rnacentral:rRNA from 1 species
UAAUUGAAGAGUUUGAUCAUGGCUCAGAUUGAACGCUGGCGGCAGGCCUAACACAUGCAAGUCGGGCGGUAACAGGGAGAAGCUUGCUUCUCCGCUGACGAGCGGCGGACGGGUGAGUAAUGUAUGGGGAUCUGCCUGAUGGCGGGGGAUAACUACUGGAAACGGUAGCUAAUACCGCAUAAUGUCUUCGGACCAAAGCGGGGGACCUCCGGGCCUCGCG